rnacentral:rRNA from 1 species
AUUGAACGCUGGCGGCAUGCCUAACACAUGCAAGUCGAACGGCAGCACAGUGUGUAGCAAUACACAUGGGUGGCGAGUGGCGGACGGGUGAGUAAUGCUUAGGAAUCUGCCCAAUAGAGGGGGAUAGCCCGGCGAAAGCUGGAUUAAUACCGCAUACGCCCGACGGGGGAAAGCGGGGGACCUUCGGGCCUCGCACUAAUGGAUCAGCCUACGUCUGAUUAGCUAGUUGGUAGGGGAAGGGCCUACCAAGGCAACAAUCAGUAGCUGGUCUGAGAGGACGGCCAGCCACACUGGGACUAAGACACAGCCCAGACUCCUGCGGGAGUCAGCAGUGGGGAAUAUUGGACAAUGGGGGAAACCCUGAUCCAGCGAUGCCGCGUGUGUGAAGAAGGCCUGCGGGUUGUAAAGCACUUUCAGUAGGGAAGAAAUCCCGAGGGAUAAUACUCCUCGGGCUUGACGUUACUUACAGAAGAAGCACCGGCUAACUCCGUGCCAGCCGCCGCGGUAACAC